rnacentral:sRNA from 1 species
UGUUGAAUUCAUGGUGGACCUCAGCUGUGUUGCUGGUCCCUGGUAUGAGAAAUGCUGGUCAUCAGAGCCCCUGUUCUCCUGCUGGGGCUAAAGGAAGGCACCAGCCCUGCCUUAGCUACUGCUUUGUAGCCAAGAGGUACCCCGGUGUGGAGCUUCUGUUAGGAAGUCCUCAAUGAAUGAUUUUCACCAGAUUCUUUCCUCUUGGGAUUAUUCUGUGUUAGACCCGUUGUCCUUGAACAAACAACUCCCUGUGUCCCCUGCUUCCCUGCAGCCCCCCAGAGUAAGUAUUCAGUUGCACAGGUCCUCCCAUGGGAAGAUCCUGAAUGAUCAGGGAUUUCGAAGCUGCUCUCAUUGCCUCGUGUGCGUCUGCACUGGAAAAGGCCAUUUUUAGGGAGUUGCUUUUAAGGGCAGAAUUUCAGUGUGGUUGCCAAAACCCCAAGGGAAAAAAACCUUCACCACACCACAACAUCCCAAUUUAAAAAAUGUACACGGGAUGACUACCAAGUCUCUCGUUCAAAAGAGGUGUCGAUGCCUGAAAGGAGUUCUAAAAUGCCUCUCGCCACGGUACUGGGCUCAGCAUGAGCUGAAGACUUGGGGGAGGGGAGAUGAUUUUGUCUAGGGGAAUUGUUGAGAUACUUGGGAUCUGAGUCUUGGCAAGAUGACAACAUCUUUAUCUUGAAAAUAAACUAUAGUAUGUUCUUACUCACACCCUUCCCCUCUGUGCAGGAUGCUGGAGCGCAGCAGCAGGAGUGAGAGGGUUGGCGUGCUGCCUCUCCUGUUUCACGGGAGACUAAUGCCUUAGGUUUGCCCUCAGGAAACCCCAAGAAUUAAAGUUAAGGAAAGCUUUGAAAGGACGGUUAGAGACCCACUUAGGCUGGUAUUCUCAGAGGUCUUAAUGGAUGCUGUUCUCUGCAGUGAUGACCUAGCACACAGUACCACAGAGUUGGUGGAAGGUUUGGGUUGACUGGGUAUCUUGAAAAUUGAUUGAUUUAUUUGAAACCAGCUGUUUUCUUUACCAGUAGAAAAGUAUCAUAUUCUGCCUUGGGGCAGCUCUCACACAAAUCCCGAUUGGCUGGUUAGUCAGUCCUAAAAAAGGUUAAUGCCAGGUCAGUUAUUAAAUCUCCGUAAGAGCCCAUUACCUUCAUCCAGGUCCCUGGCCAUGAGCCUGUCUCCGACCCUGAAGGGUAGGCCUCUGAGAAGGGCAGGCUGUUGCUGGUGAGGCCCAAGGCAGGAGGAGGAAGGGAGCAGGCUGCUCCUGGGAGAAAGUCCAAUGAGAGCAGAUCCCUUGGCCACCUUUGUAUGGAAAGAGCCUUGACCUCACCAUUAAAAGUGAAUAGAAUGGUGGCAAGGCGGAGUUAUAGAUACUUUUCCUUGCUUUGGGGUUGACUCUUGCCCCAGGUGCUGCCCCUUCUCCCAGAAACCACCGAUCCAUUUCCCUCACCUAGUCACCUCCAGACCCCAGAAGCUCUCCCCAACCCAGCUGAAUUCCUCUGCAAACGAUUCAAGGGGCUCUGAUAGGUCACACAGUGCCACCUUGUGUGCUGGACCAUAUCUGGAGGGAGAACUGAGUGAGGGGGCACAGGGAUUGCCUCCAGAUGGGACGAGCAGGGGAAAGAAAAUGGUAGCCACUUUUACAUUGGUUUGGGUAGUAAUUAUUGAUUCAGGAAGCAAAUACAAAAUCUUGAAUGAAAUGACUUGGAAAAAGUAAAUAGAAUCAAGAUCCCAAGAGGAGCUGAAAAUAAUAAAUGGGAGCAGGGUGUGGGGGAAUGGUCGGUAAGUGAGAAAUGCUAACAUGAUAGACUAAAGCUUCAGGAUUGUUGGAGGUAGAGCAGGAACUGUGUACUGCAUAGUUCCCAAAUGCCCUGGUGUUCUGAUGGGGGAUGGAAACUAAAACACGGGCCAGGUUGGAUUUCAUACUGUAGUCCUGCCAUUUUUCAUCCUAGAGCAGAGAUAAAAGUUGGGCCUGGGCGAUAGCUCAUUCUCUCUGAAAGGCUGCUAGUUAGGCCCAGCCUGUCACCCUGGAUCAUGUGUGUCGUGUGUAUUGAGCAGGGAGCUGAGGCUUGCAGAUAGCCAAGUGGUGAGAGGCCCCACUGACCUCGGUCUGUUUCUCACUGGAGCGCAGGUUUGGGAGCAGCAGCAACACCACAUCCUUCGGCACGCUCGCGAGUCAGAAUGCCCCCACUUUCGGAUCACUGUCCCAACAGACUUCUGGUUUUGGGACCCAGAGUAGCGGAUUCUCUGGUUUUGGAUCAGGCACAGGAGGGUUCAGCUUUGGAUCAAAUAACUCGUAAGUAUCCCCCUUUUUGAGUCUGACCUUAAUUAAAAGCGUUAAAUAAGGUUGGAAGUGUGUGGAUCUUGCUGGAUUUGUGCAUUUUCUUUUCGUGUUUUCCUGUUUUUAGAGUUUGUCCUGGAAGUGUGGGGGUUCAGCAGCAGGGUUUGGGUUUUGUAGACUUGCUCUUCUCUGUAGCAAUAUGGCAGGAGGUGCCAGGCCUCGCCUUCUUAAGAGGCAUGGUUCAAAGAGAAAAGAGCACGCCUACCAGUAAGCCGGGCCUGAGGGCAGCGCUGAGGAGAUGCUGCUCCUGACUUCCCUGGAGGUUUCUCAGAAGCUGCAUGCUAACCCCUGGGCUCUGGGCCAUCACCAGGUCUCAUGUGUUGAUCCACCCUCUGUGCUUCUGUGUAAAAUUUCAUGGCGUUAAAAUUCAGUCUUAGCCAGGUGGGUGGUUCACGCCUAUAAUCCCAGCACUUUGGGAGGCUGAGGUGGGAGGAUUGCUUGAGCCCAGGAGUCAAAACCAGCCUGGGCAACAUAGUGAGACCCCAUCCCUACUAAAAAUUAAAAAAAUUAGCCGUGCAUGCUGGCUUAUGCCUGUGGUCCCAGCUACUCCAGAAGCUGAGGCGGGAGGAUCACUUGAGCCUGGGAGGUCGAGGCUGCAGUGAGCCAAGAUGGUACCACUACACUCUAGUCUGGGUGACAGCCAGACCCUAUAUCA